UACGUAGGGGGCAAGCGUUGUCCGGAAUCAUUGGGCGUAAAGAGCGUGUAGGCGGCCAGAAAAGUCCGCUGUGAAAACUCGAGGCUCAACUUCGAGCUGUCGGUGGAAACUUUCUGGCUAGAGUCCGGAAGAGGAGAAUGGAAUUCCUGGUGUAGCGGUGAAAUGCGCAGAUAUCAGGAAGAGCACCCGUGGCGAAGGCGGUUCUCUGGGACGGUACUGACGCUGAGACGCGAAAGCGUGGGGAGCGAACAGG
rnacentral:rRNA from 1 species